CGAUUUGGAACUAAGAAAAUUUCUAGUAAAAAGACUUCAUUCAAUCUCGUUUAAUAAUACAUUCUUGUCCCAGAAACUAAAAUAGGCUAAUCUAUAGGUUAUAGUCUAUUUAGUUUUUAGAUUUUUUUUUAACAGGCUUUUUUUAAUUUUUUUAUUAGAGCAACUACAUUUUACCUUCGUUUAGAUCUAUAUGAUUUCUUUGUAAAUAAAGCCUUAUUACACUAAAGAUAUGUAAGACUUACUUAUGAGAUUUAUUUCUAAAAUGUACAAGUGUAUACUUUUUGCCUAUAUUUGGCCUUGGGAAUAUCCCUCUUCAGUGUCCAGCAAUAAUCUGCCAACAUAGAGGGGAUUCACUUUCACUUUACAUUACUAUACCUAAUGAUAUGUGAGUAUACUGUAACAAAAACAUCAUCAAACUAUGGGUGAUAGAGAUUAGGACAACACGGUUGGAUUCAUCUUGGAAAAAUACAAAAACAGGUUUUUUUUUUACAUGGGACAAAGUUAACUGAUGUAAUGAAAAUAAAACUACAAAAUCACACGCUGAUUUAGGCAGCAGACAGAAACAGCAAAUCAAUAUGUCCAAAACCUAUUUCCUAUUCAAAUUAAUUGUAAUAAAACUUGUUGUUGCCAGUUUCAAAUGAUGGGCUGUCUCCUCAUUAAAGGUACUGUUAAUUAAUUUACAUCACAUAAAUAAUUGUAAUGUUGGCACAGAAGACGACUCAAGAAAAUAUUUCUGCUCAAGGAAAACCACUUUAUGGUGACAGUGAAGCCUUUAAGAAGGCUCACACAGCAAAACAAACAUGAACUAAUGGUGGAAAUGGGGUUCACUAAAACGCUAAAGAUGGUAAAUGCUUCUAAUAAACUAGUAAACUAAAAAGAAAAAAGUCAUGACUAGACUAAAUAAAAUACACUUAUGCCAACAAUUAUAUUUAACAUUGAAACUUUAAACUAAAUAAAUCUGCAGAGAGGUGCAUGGCAUUCUGGGAGUUCUUGCCAUGCUUCUCUUCACUCUCCUGACUCCUGUUGGCAGAUUAUUGCUGGACGCUGAAGAGGGAUGUCCCCAAGGCCAAAUAUAGGCAAAAAGGCCCACUCCCUAAUCCACUGGCCAACGCCACACAGUCACCUCCAAUGGUGAGAUGUCCACGCAACCCAAAGAAGUCCCUGGGGAAUGCGGUCCCACGGCUCUUGGUGCUGUGACCUCACCAGUCUUUCCUUAGCGCGACGAGCCUAUCCGGCUUCCUGACACCACCCUUCUCUCACUGGCCCGGUAUGCAGUGAACCAGUCCCGGUGAACCACAACAGUCCAGGACUCCACUAGAACCAGAGCACACCGCUUUGUCAAAGCACUUCUUUACAGUGCAAGGGCCCUCCCACGGCGAAUGAACUUCCUUACGGCAUGGGUUGUACAGCCACAAGUGUGUCCCUGGGGAGAGUGGUAGUGCGAGUCAUAAGCUGUUUUUUUGGGGAGUGCUGGCACGUGAGUGCUGCAGCAGUGCUUUCUCUGCCAUGCUGCCGGCCCACGCACCAUGCCCAGUGUGGUCCUCCUCAGACCGAACGCCAUUGCAGCCGCAACACACACCACCCAGGCGCCGGCUCCUCCCGCAUGCGUUACGACACCUCGUCGGCCAUCCAGAGGCUGUCACAGCUGGUGUAAAAGUGCCUUAGCGGUGUGCCAGUACAUCUGUCCAGCCCAGCCUCCGUCCCGCCUGGAGCCAUCUCAUGGUGUCGAGUCCUGUGCUGCUGGGGGCAGUAACAGCACUCCUAAGCGUCUCUGCUCUCCCCCGAAGGCACGCACAGUCCCAGCGUUCCUUCUCUUUAGUUGCUGCUGCUGACCUCCACCAAGGAGCGCUGAUGCUGCAUUUUCAGCUCCUCAAGAACAGCCUAUGUUGCAAGGGCCCAAGUUCUGCCUUUGCAGAGCGUGUCCCUGUACAGUGGCUGAGCCUCGAGACAUGUGUAAUGCACUUUCUCAGGUUAUACAAAUCAUUUGCCAGCUAUUUUAAAUCAACAGGUAAGACAAAUGGCCAAAUCCAUACUAUAAUAUGCAAUCUUGAAAUUAACAGUAUGUGUGUGAGGUGUAUCUUUGUUUUCUUUCACUUACAGAAGAGAAGCAACCAAGAUUGAAGAUGCUAGCGGGAGCAUUUUGUGACCCCAUGACUGAAGUGUACCUCCUCUUCAACAUACCAGCAUACCAGACUCCACCUCCGAAUCUCCUACUCAACAGAGACCCUUUAGCUAUAUUUAUAUUGCAAGAUGAAGUAUAUUUAGAGGAAGGGACUUAAGCUUGGAUUCCAAUAUCUUGUCUUUCAGGAUGCACUAAAUUAAUAUUCGGGAUAGCUGUAGUGCUUUCUUAAAUAUUUUUCAGAUGAUAAAUAUAUUUCUUCAAAAUCUGCCCUAAGUUCAUCCUGCCUACAGCACUACAGACUCAUUACGAGCCUCAGGCCAUCCCAUAUGUGGAUAGGGAAUGCCAUCUGCCUGGUAAUUGUAAUUUAGUGCAAGGUAAAGUAGGAUGAAGUGUGUAUAGCAUUAGUCAAAAGUCUGAAGCUCAAGGAAAGAUGUGUACAUUGGUGUUUUUAGAAAAGUACACUGGAACUGACUGUGUUCUCUGUAUCUCUAACAGGAAACCAACUGAAUGUCGGCCGAAUGGAUGUUUGGGACAUCGCAGCCCAGCAAGUGGAUAUGCUUGCACACUGCAGCCGUAAGGAAGUUCUUGAUGAUAGCUGUAGAGUACACACUACAAAUGCUGAAACUGAGAGACCCCCCCAUGCCAGAUUUGUGGAUGUUAGGCAGAGGGCAAAAUGUAGGGCUGGAGGAUACUCUUUACUUUGUGAAGAGGUAUUUCCACCUUCUCACCUUCACCGGGGAAGGAAUUCCUAGACUAUCGGACAAUUCCUAUGCCUUACUUGGCAGCAGACUCAGACAUUGAGUGCUUCUGAGCUUACACAACAAGCUUAAAAAAAAAGAUUUUAGUGGGAGUCCUGAGGCUUGCGUUAGUGCUGCUACACUCCAGUGCCGAUGCAGACCGGAUAUUUUCCUUGCGAGACUGAACAACGCGAAAGCUAGAAAGAGCCUGGCCUUGAAGAGAAUACGGACAUCUCUAACGCCAGUUAAGAUGGCAGAGUUGGAGCAAGUGGGAAGCAUCCCAGUCAGUGAUGAAGGCUGCAAUAUCAGUCUCCAGCACCUACAAUGCAGCACAUGAGAACUUAUGAACCUGCUUCUGCUCAACUUCUUGGGUUUUAGGGUUUCAGUGAGUUAGUCAACCUCAAAAAGAAACAUGAAUUGAGCUGCAUGUUGUUAGUACAUUUAAGGAAAUACUGUUCAGUUGUCAAAUGAACACUGUACACUUCUCGUGGCACAAGGGUUUUUUGUUUUUUGGAUGACUAAGCACAUCACUGUGUAACAAAAAUAAGUACUACAAAAAUAACAACCCCCCAACGGGUACAAAACUCAAGAUGAACUCAAAAGUUGGCAGCCCUGCUAUUGGUUAAAACAGGCUAAACAGCAUGAAGCCUAAUGACGCCGAGAUGACACGAUGUUUAAAAUGUUUGGCCCUUUUGUGAAAGUCUAAUGUAAUUGGGUUAAAUUAAAUAGCCUAACACUACAUGAUAAUGUAGGUGUUAGCCUACUUAUAUUUUAGGCUACCUCAUUUCACCAUCUUGUCCUAUUUCUAAAUGACUUUUUUGUGAAAUACUUAUUUAAAAUAUAUUAUUCUACAGGAUGUUGCCCUAUUCUCUAAGAUUAUUUUUCGGACAUUUCAAAAUUACACUUGCCUAGUGCUUGUCAA